GAUUACUGCUUUGGUGUGUAACAAACUGCCAACAGUUGCAGAGACAGAAACACCCGAGGAGGCUGCCGAAACUAUGAUUGAUGAAGGUGAUUCAGAAACAAAGGACACAAACGGGGUGUCAAUGGUAAAACCCAAAGAACAUGACAAGGAAGAUGAUAUGGGGUUCAACGGUGCGUCAGUCGAGGAUGAUGAUAAUUCAGAAUCAGACGAGGACAUCUUCAGAGGAUGAAAAGAGGCAGCCUCUAAGCAGAACAGUCGUAAUAUGUACCUGUUGUUUUU